GUGAAGUAUGUGGCUUCAACUUAUAUAAUUUCUUCAUACUAGAGGGAUCUGACUGCAAAUAGCUAAUACUUUGAGGAGUUAGUUGUAGUGUUAGUUAUCACCCUCGGUGUGUGUAUGUGUGUGAAGUAUAUAUGUUGUGAGUCAUCUCAUUAUCACGUAUUAUUCUUCUUCUUUGUUGAGCUAUGAGUCUUCUUAGUUACAGAGAGCUAGAGAGUGGUUGUUGACAGCAUGGUGUGGCUGUAACACUCAAUCUUGAGUCUGUGAAUUGUGAGUGAUUAUUCUUGAUCAAUAAAAUCUUCAUCUCUUCUGCCGUGGACGUAGGAUAUUCAUAUCCGAACCACGUAAGCCCUAGUGUCUCUUGUUCUUGUUUUUCAUUUGUUUUCUUGCUCGAUACUCUACUGUUUCAUCGCCUUGAUCCGAUCUCAAACAAGCUUGUGGAUUCAUCUCUU
rnacentral:lncRNA from 1 species